AACGCACGAGACCUGCGGACCUGCGGAGGGAUCAUUACCGAGUUUACAACUCCCAAACCCAAUGUGAACCAUACCAAACUGUUGCCUCGGCGGGGUCACGCCCCGGGUGCGUCGCAGCCCCGGAACCAGGCGCCCGCCGGAGGGACCAACCAAACUCUUUCUGUAGUCCCCUCGCGGACGUUAUUUUUACAGCUCUGAGCAAAAAUUCAAAAUGAAUCAAAACUUUCAACAACGGAUCUC
rnacentral:misc_RNA from 1 species